rnacentral:rRNA from 1 species
AACGAACGCUGGCGGCAGGCUUAACACAUGCAAGUCGAACGCCCCGCAAGGGGAGUGGCAGACGGGUGAGUAACGCGUGGGAACAUACCCUUUUCUACGGAAUAGCUCUGGGAAACUCGAAUUAAUACCGUAUACGCCCUACGGGGGAAAGAUUUAUCGGGAAGGAUUGGCCCGCGUUGGAUUAGCUAGUUGGUGGGGUAAAGGCCUACCAAGGCGACGAUCCAUAGCUGGUCUGAGAGGAUGAUCAGCCACAUUGGGACUGAGACACGGCCCAAACUCCUACGGGAGGCAGCAGUGGGGAAUAUUGGACAAUGGGCGCAAGCCUGAUCCAGCCAUGCCGCGUGAGUGAUGAAGGCCUUAGGGUUGUAAAGCUCUUUCACCGAUGAAGAUAAUGACGGUAGUCGGAGAAGAAGCCCCGGCUAACUUCGUG